rnacentral:rRNA from 1 species
UACGCACGCUGGCGGCGUGCUUAACACAUGCAAGUCGAACGGAAAGGCCCUGCUUUUGUGGGGUGCUCGAGUGGCGAACGGGUGAGUAACACGUGAGUAACCUGCCCUUGACUUUGGGAUAACUUCAGGAAACUGGGGCUAAUACCGGAUAGGAGCUCCUGCUGCAUGGUGGGGGUUGGAAAGUUUCGGCGGUUGGGGAUGGACUCGCGGCUUAUCAGCUUGUUGGUGGGGUAGUGGCUUACCAAGGCUUUGACGGGUAGCCGGCCUGAGAGGGUGACCGGCCACAUUGGGACUGAGAUACGGCACAGACUCCUACGGGAGGCAGCAGUGGGGAAUAUUGCACAAUGGGCGGAAGCCUGAUGCAGCAACGCCGCGUGCGGGAUGACGGCCUUCGGGUUGUAAACCGCUUUCGCCUGUGACGAAGCGUGAGUGACGGUAAUGGGUAAAGAAGCACCGGCUAACUACGUG